rnacentral:rRNA from 1 species
GACAGAGGUGCCGAGCGUUAGGCGGAAUCACUGGGCGUAAAGGGUGCGUAGGCGGGUCUUUAAGUCAGGGGUGAAAUCCUGGAGCUCAACUCCAGAACUGCCUUUGAUACUGAAGAUCUUGAGUCCGGGAGAGGUGAGUGGAACUGCGAGUGUAGAGGUGAAAUUCGUAGAUAUUCGCAAGAACACCAGUGGCGAAGGCGGCUCACUGGCCCGGUACUGACGCUGAGGCACGAAAGCGUGGGGAGCAAACAGG